UACAGAGGGGGCAAGCGUUGUUCGGAAUUACUGGGCGUAAAGGGCGCGUAGGCGGCCUGCUAAGUCGAACGUGAAAUCCCCGGGCUCAACCCGGGAACUGCGUCCGAUACUGGUAGGCUUGAAUCCGGGAGAGGGUUGCGGAAUUCCAGGUGUAGCGGUGAAAUGCGUAGAUAUCUGGAGGAACACCGGUGGCGAAGGCGGCAUCCUGGACCGGUAUUGGCGCUGAGGCGCGAAAGCCAGGGGAGCAAACGGG
rnacentral:rRNA from 1 species